rnacentral:lncRNA from 1 species
UGGAUUUGUUUUAUCAACGUUUAUUGAUUUUUGCCAAGCCCUCUCGAAACUUCAUCUCCGCUCAAGUUCUUUUCUUUCUUUUUUGGUGUUUUAGCAAAAUCACAGAUAGUUUGAUCAUAUAUAUAAUAUAAUUACAAGGUUUUUUUGGACCAAAAAAUUAUAAGUUUAAUUUGCUAAAGAUCGCAUUAUACAGGGGAAAAGUGUUAAUUUCGACCCCAAGAAUUUAGGUCGUGCCAAAUACGACCCGAACAAUUGAUCAGUACCGAAUACGACCUCAAUUCAAAUAUAAUUCGAAAAAACUACUCAAACUUCUUAAAACGUGCUUAAAUCUACAUUGACUCUGAUAGAAGUUAGUCAAUCAUUAACAAGAUAAAACGACAUCGUUUUGAUAUACGAGAAAAAGUACCAAUUUUGACCCCAACACUCUCAAUCGUGCCAAAUAGGACCCGAACAAAUGGUCAGUGCCAAAACCAACCUCAACUUUAUUAUAAUUUAAGAAAAAAUGUCUGAACUUCUUAAAACGUGCAUCAAUCAAUAUAUGUAUAUAUAUCUUUAAAAAAAAUAAAAAUAAAUAAUAUGUACAUUCCGGGACUCAAAC